CAAGGAGAAGCCCCCUGUUGCCAGCGUGGAUGAGGAGGAUUUCACACUGGCAUCAAGAAAGAAGAAGGCGCGCACGGCGCCUCGAGACUCAGUGUGGUACCGCCGAACCGGCUAAUUCUGGCUUGCGGAUUGCUACACCGAGUAAGGCUCUGUACGUAUCGCGCUUGCAUUACACCGCCACGGCUGCUAAAGCGAUGGAGUAUGUACACCAGAAGACCGGUUACACGCUGAGGGUGUUCCAGCUUCGAUCGCGCCACUAAGUGCACUUCAACUCUUUUGUGGUGCGCGUGCUGCGACCGCUGCAGGGAACCAUCGAGUGCGCCGACUUCUGGCCGAAGGGUGUCGUGUUUCGGAGGUUCCGGGGCAAACUGCCGAAUCCCACUGAUAUAUAUCCGAUUCAACGGAGCCACGCCGUUUUGUCGCAUAAGUAGUGUUUAGUUUUAAGUUUAUAUAAUACAUAUAUGUAUGUUAGUCUGUAAGGUAUUUGUAAUAUGAGCCUUGUUGCCUGAUUUAAAUUUCAAAUAAAUAAAUAAAUUA